AAAGCACACAGCCACCCUCAUCCGCAGAAGAAUCACCAAGACAGCCGACGAAUUCCCACUUUCUUUUACCCCCUACUUCCGGUUCAUUUACUUCCGGGACACUAAGCCCAACCCGUUUGUCUGAGGAGGAGUAGACAGGCGGGCUGGUGGACAGGCUUUUAUUUUCAGGCCUCUGCAGCGCGGGGCUUCUGCUCUAGCCCGGCUCGAACCUGGCGGCUUCAAGUUGGACGGAAUCCAGGCGCGGGGGCAAACUGAGUGGCCGCUCCGAGAGCGUUUCUGAGACAGCGGCUACAGAAGGAGCAGGAACGGGAGGAGGAGGGCUGGAACGGCGGGGCGAAGUGGAAGAGCUUCUGGCCAAUAUGCUGAUACUGAAUUUUUAAGCUAUUGAUGUAUCUGAAGAAUUGCAAUGGAAGAUUAAAAAAUAAUUUAAACGAAGACAGCUUACAAGUAUAUGGAAAGAUGGUUAGAUCACGGUCAAGAUCACCACGAUGGAAACGAAGAUCUUUAUCACCAGUCUUCAGAGCACAGGAAUACAAUAGACAAAGGCACAUUGAUUAUGACUCUGAAUAUAAGAUUUUCCAAAAAGACUCAAAGAAACUUAUAACUUGGAGAAUGGAAGAGGCAAAACAUGGGCAAACCAAUCCCAGAUAUAUACCACAUGAAACUAACUAUCAUCGACUUCAUGAAUCCAGAUCAUAUUCCCCUUCUCUGAAAAGAAACCCUUCAGAAGACAUUGAUAAUCAUAAAUCUUUUAGAACAUAUUCACCUGAAAGAAAUGAAUGUAUCAGAAGAAACCAAUUUAGUUCCAGAUAUUUAGAAAUGUCUCACAAAGAAUACCAUCAGUCAUUUUAUCCAUCUAAAGUACAUGUAAGAGAAAUGCAUGAAGGUACUCGAGCUGUUGGAAACACAAAAGAAAUGAAGACAUAUCAUAGGCCAUUAAAGACUUUAUGUAAGUUUGAAAGGAAGUGGCAUGAAAAUGACUUGAGGCACCACCAAGUACAAGAAGACAAAUAUGUUCAGUCAUUUCGAAGAUUUUCUAAUGAAUGUACGCCAAGGAGUUCUUCCAAGAAGAGGUAUCCUGACCGUGAUUACAGAGAAUAUGGGCCCAGCUCUAAAAAGGUGAAUGAAAUGGAGAGGUAUGAUAGAGAAUCCGCAAGCAGUUCCAAAUGGAAGCAAAAUUAUUCUUCUUCCAAUCAGAAAAGGGAAGAACAAAGAAAUCUUGAAGAUCAAUGGCAUGCUGAAAUUGAAUACAGUAAUAAUUGUGAAGCUAAGGUUACAUAUGAGUAUUCUCAUAAACGUCAUAGACAUCCAGAGGGAGGAAAAUACUCCUCUGAUGAAAAAGCAGAGAAAUAUGUCAAGUUGGACAACGAGAAAUACAGCUACUGUAAAGGAGUUUGGAAUAGUAAAUGUUCAGAUCAUUAUAGCAGUGACAGGGCAAGCCGAAUGGGACAGCCUCACACUGAAGUGGCAGUGAAAUAUAAUUCAGGGAAAGGCCACAAUUCAUGUGUGAAAUCCUUAGAUCAAAAUGAAAAAGAACGAAUACAGAAAGAUUUGGAUUUUAGGGGAAGAAUAAAUUUUUCCAGCAACUACCAGCAUGAUACUGGUAGUUCAGAUGUUCAUGCUAGGAAAGAGAAACUCACUGUCAAAGUGGAUAUGAAGAAAACAAUACAUAAAUACAGGGGAGCUUCUGGUCAUAUCAUGGAGAGGCAGACAUCAUGUGACCUAGUAGCUGUGGGUAAAAAACCUGAAAGUUUUCAUCCUGUAUUUGAACAUAUAAAAUCUGUGACACAGAAGGUAGAACAAAACCCAUCAAAAGAAUUUGCUCAGGAAAUCAUCAGAAUUAUCCACCAAGUUAAAGCAAAUUAUUUUAAAUCUUCUGACCUAACUUUAAAUGAGCGCUUCUCAAAAAUACAAGAUAUAUCAGAGGCAAAUGAAGUUAAAAGACAUUUGGAUCCAGAGAUUCACAGGAGGAUUGAUAUGUCUCUGGCAGAACUUCAGAACAAACGAGCUAAUUUGUGUGAGUCUGGACAGAAUGUUGUGAGAGUUCUAGAGGACCCAAAUGAUUUAAGACAUGACAUAGAGAGGCGAAGAAAACAGAGACUGGAGAAUGAAGAUGAAAAUAUAUUUUACAUUAAUAUCCCACAAAGGCAUGCACAAAAUAAUAGCUUUGUAAAACUUCGGAGUACUCAAGCAUACAAAUACCAGAAAUCACCAAGAUUCCCAAGUCAGCCUUUCAGAAAAUUUAUUAAGAAACCAUACAUGAGCCAUUAUACUGAAAAUUCACAUGCUGAUAUUGCAACCAACCGAUUUAAAAGACAAAUUGAAAAUCCUGAAACAGUUCAAAGACCCAUCAAGUACAGUUUUAUUGAUGGGCGCCCUCACUUCAGAUCAAAUUUAGUACAAAAGGGCUUGUAUAUACAGGCUAAAUACCAGCGGUUACGUUAUGCUGGUGCAAGAGGAGUUACUACUUAUAAAAUCAGAGAAGAACUUUUGCGGAAACAGUAGUUAUGUUUCAAAUAUAUAGUUUGGAAUAUUCCAAAUAUUACAUUUCCCUCAACUGAUUUAUUCGGAUCUGGAUGGGGAGAAACAAGCUCAGACUCAACCCCUCCAAGACCGAGUGGCUGUGGCUUCCGGCGUCCCGGUAUAGUCAGCUAGUACCAUCACUGACAAUAGGGGAUGAGAUCUUGCUCCCCACAGAGAGGGCCCGCAACUUGGGUGUCCUCCUGGAUUCAUGGUUAUCUUUAGAAGAUCAUUUGACGGCCGUGGCCAGGGGUGCCUUUUAUCAGGAACUGGACAUCUGAACUACAGUACUGAAGUAGAUAACAAGAUUAAUUAUAGAAGUAACUUUGUAUUAAAUAAUGCUAUCAAGAAUUGAAAUGGAAAAAUAUAUCUAAUACUUUAACUUUUCUUUAUAAAGAUAAUUUUAUUUUUAGUAGUAUAAUGUUGCAGGUCUUUUCUACAGUUUUAAUAAUGUUUUUCAAAAAUAGCUUUCAAUUGAACAUUGUAGGAUUGUCAUUUUCUUCCUCGUAAAGAGAAGUCUGAGGAAAAAAUCCCACCUGAAGGAAAUCUUUAUUUAUUAUCAUUUUUCCUCUAAGCAUGGUUUUAUUGCUAGGAAUUGUUAUACAUAAAGUUUAUAUGUUUAAAGUUUAUUGCUUAUAUAAUAAACAAAACAAUUAUUUACA